rnacentral:rRNA from 1 species
AGCGGCGGACGGGUGAGUAACGCGUGGUAACCUACCUUACACAGGGGGAUAACAGUUAGAAAUGACUGCUAAUACCGCAUAACCCGCUAGGGUCACAUGGCCCGGACGGAAAAGAUUUUAUCGGUGUAAGAUGGACCCGCGUCUGAUUAGCUGGUUGGUGAGGUAACGGCUCACCAAGGCGACGAUCAGUAGCCGACCUGAGAGGGUGAUCGGCCACAUUGGGACUGAGACACGGCCCAAACUCCUACGGGAGGCAGCAG